rnacentral:rRNA from 1 species
AGGUUUCCGUAGGUGAACCUGCGGAAGGAUCAUUAUUGAAAUAAACCUGAUGAGUUGUUGCUGGCUCUCUAGGGAGCAUGUGCACGCUUGUCGUUUUUAUAUCUCCACCUGUGCACCUUUUGUAGACCUGGAUACCUUUCUAAAUGCACUCGCGUUUAGGUAUGAGGAUUGACCUUUGUGUCUAUCUUCACAUUUCCAGGCCUAUGUUUCUUCAUAUACCCUAUUGUAUGUUAUAGAAUGUAAUAAAUGGCCUUUGUGCCUAUAAACUUAUACAACUUUCACCAACGGAUCUCUUGGCUCUCGCAUCGAUGAAGAACGCAGCGAAAUGCGAUAAGUAAUGUGAAUUGCAGAAUUCAGUGAAUCAUCGAAUCUUUGAACGCACCUUGCGCUCCUUGGUAUUCCGAGGAGCAUGCCUGUUUGAGUGUCAUUAAUAUAUCAACCUCUUCAGCUUUUGCUUGUUCGAGUGUUGGAUGUGGGGGUUUUUUGCUGGCUUCUCUUUUGAAGUCAACUCCCCUAAAAUGCAUUAGCGGAACAUUUUGUUUUACCGUUCCAUUAGUGUGAUAAUUAUCUAGCGUAAUAGCGUGAAGCAGUUCAGCUUAUAACAGUCUAUUAAACUUGGACAAAUUUCAUUAAUGUGACCUCAAAUCAGGUAGACUACCCGCUGACUAGC